UACUUUGAACUUUUCAGAACGUUGAUCUUUUGGGCUGAAAUUUUCUAUGUCUUGUCUGCCCAAAGGGUGAGUGUUUUUGAAAAGUGCAAAU
rnacentral:pre_miRNA from 1 species